rnacentral:rRNA from 1 species
CGGUUAAAAAGCUCGUAGUUGGAUUUCUGUUGAAAACAGGCGGUCCACCUUUUGGGUGAGUAUCUGCAUUGGUUUCGGCAUCUUCUCGGAAUACGUCUCUGCGCUUGAUUGCGUGGUGCGGAGUUCGGGACUUUUACUUUGAGGAAAUUAGAGUGUUCACGGCAGGCAAUCGCCUUGAAUAUAUUAGCAUGGAAUAAUAAUAUAGGAUCUUGGUUCUAUUUUGUUGGUUUCUAGAGCUAAGAUAAUGAUUAAUAGGGACAAUUGGGGGCAUUCGUAUUAACGCGUCAGAGGUGAAAUUCUUGGAUUGCGUUACGACGAACUACUGCGAAAGCAUUUGCCAAGGAUGUUUUCAUUGAUCAAGAACGAAAGUAAGGGGAUCGAAGAUGAUUAGAUACCGUCGUAGUCUUUACCAUAAACUAUGCCAACUAGAGAUGGGACGUCGUCCUUUAUUGACUCGUUCCGCACCUUAUGAGAAAUCAAAGUCUUUGGGUUCCGGGGGGAGUAUGGUCGCAAGGCUGAAACUUAAAGGAAUUGACGGAGGGGCACCACCAGGAGUG